rnacentral:lncRNA from 1 species
UUUAAUAUUUAUUUAUUUUUUAGGUGUAGAUGGACAGAACACAAUGCCUUUAUUUUUAUGUGGUGCUGAGAAUCGAGCCUGGGUCCUGCUCUGCUAGGCGAGCACUCUACCUCUGAGCCACAAUCCCAGCCCCACUGAUACACGUAUUCUUUUACAUAUAUCUGCAGACUUCUUACCAGUGAAUUGGUAAAGAUAAUACAUUUGAAACUUGGAUGUUUCUUUCCAGUUAGCUUAUGACUAAGUUUCUUACUAUAAAGGAGUUAGACUGUGGGGGCCCUGUGUUAUACCUAAGUGGUUCAUGGCCUAAGAAAGUUGAGAAACUGUGUGCUUUUGAUUCAGAAUUGUAGAGCUGAAGAGACUUGGGGAUGAGUUGGAUAUUGGAAUUAUCUUGGGAAUGUUUUCAUAAAACAAGUAGGCCUGAGCCUUCUCUUCUCCCAUCCCCUGUCUUCUAAAUUAGUAUAUUAGAUGAGCUCCAAUACACGUACAAGUAAUUCCCCUAUCGUGUAAGUUUCAUCAUUCAAAUUGUUUUUUAACAUAGUGACUUAGCAGACCAGUUUUGGAAUAUUAAGUAAUGAUCUGAAACUGACAUGUAGAAAAAAGUACAACCCGCCACUUUCCUUGAGGUUUUAGGUGUUUCACUUAUUUUAAUUAGCUUUUGACACCUAUAAUAUAGCGUGAUAUAAGCAGGAGAAUUUGUUAGGAUUAUUCUUUGUUAUCACCCAUCACCUACAAAGGUUCUUGGCAAAUACUAGAGGUGCAGUAAAUAUUUUUUGUGGUUGCAUGAAUUAUGUAUUAAUGCAUAAUAAAGGUAUUAAGAAUAUAGAAUUGACCCAGUGAUUGUGCUGAUACAGAUAGAAAAAAAUCCUUUGCUUUUGGGCAGAAUUUAGUUAAGUUUCUAGUUUAUGGCUCUAUCUAUACCUUUAAAGCCAUAAAAACAGGACUUUUGAAGGGAGUCGUACUACUUGUGUAUGGCACAGAGUCAUCUUGUAGAGGCAAGUGGAGCCUAAAAUCCAGCCAAGAUAAGCAUUGUCCCUGCGGAGUUGUGUCUACCCAAGGUGAGAGAGAAGUAGCUUUUGUUAACUGGAAAGAUUUGUUCAUUCAUCUUUUAUAUAACAAGUUAGCUGUAAUUCAUAUUGGUUUUUAACAUGGUGACUGAGCACACCAUUUUUACAAUAUUAAGUAAUGACUAUAAUUUGAAUUAUAUGUGAUAUGUUGAUUUUUUUUUUUUUUUUUCCUCUUACUACUCAGGAUUUUCUCAUUAUCUUUGAUCCUCAACAGUUUGACUCCAGAUUGAGGAUCCUUUUUCUGAAAUGCUUGAGAUCAGAAGUGUUUUAAAGUUUGGAUAUUUUUUUGGUUUUUAAUAUUUGCAUAGAAUAUUUGCAUUUUACUGUUCUACCAUCCCUAAUCUGAAAAUCUGAAACCUGCAAAGCUCCAAAAUAUGAAAGUUUCUGAUUGCUCAAAAAUUCUUUUGAACAUUUUUGAUUUUCAGAUUAUGGAUGCUUCGUCUAUAUUGAUUUAUGUUGAUGAAUAUGUGUGCGAUUGUAGUUUUCUUUAUAUUUAUCCUACGUUCUCUGAGCUUUUACGAUCUGUAAAUUUAGGUUUGUCCAACAAAUUUUGGGAAAAUUUGCCUGCUGUUUCUCAAAAUAAAUUUCCUUAUUCUUUCUCUCUUUUGCUUCUUGGACUUUUUAUUUACACAUAUGAGGAUUCUUUCAAUAUCGUCCCACAUUUCUAUAAAUAUUUUCUCUCUGUUCUUUAGAUUGAGUAUUUUCUAUCAAUUUAUCUUCAAGUCCCCUGACUUUUUGUUAUUUUCAUUCAUCUAUUCUAAGCAUAUCCAGUAAAUUUUAUAUUUCAUAUCUUUCAAUUCUUGAGUUUAUUUGGUUCAUUUAUUUUUCUUUGCUGAAAUUCCCCCAGGCAGUUUUUCCCCCUAUUGUAUCUUUCCAUAUGUUUUCAAAACCCUGCUUUUAGAACCUUCUAUACUAACCCCAGUAUCUGUAUCAUUUCAGCAUUGGUUUCCUCUGAUUGUCUUUUGAAACUGAGCUACUUUCUUUAAUAAGUUGUUUUUAAUAAUAUCCUGGAUAUUGUUACUUAUAGAGACUUUGAAUUCUGUUACAUUCUGAGAAGUGGUGACUUUUUAAACAGUUGACUUAGUUGGGCUAAAUUGCAAAUUCUAGUCUCCUGAGCUGGUUCAGUAGUAAUCUGCCUUCUUCAUGUUUUGGUUCAGAGGCAGAUAGAGAUUUGGGGAGAGUUUAUACCAUGCCACUGGAGGCUUCCCUUUUCUGGCUGUCUCCCCUCUGAUUCCUCCUUGCUUUCCAACAAUUGUGGUUACCUCAGACUGUUCUUCAAAUGAGAAUGACUACAGUUUUUCUAUUAGUUUUUGGCUGCCAUACUUGGUACAGACUGCAGCUUGCACUCAAGUUUACAGUCAUAACAUGGAAGAUAACUUCCUCAUGUUCCUUUCUCCUAGGCAUCUACUCCUGUCCACAAUUAGCCUGUUUUUGUUUGUUCUCUGUAGUGCCUUCAGAUUGUAGUGUAUUUUGUGAAGAGUUUAUAGUUGUUAUCUUUGUAAGGUUUGGCACCAGUAGGAACUACAUAGCCAUUUUUAAAUUGAAAGUACAGGUACCCUUUUUAAAAAUUUGCACAAAACAUGCCAAAUAAGCUACAGUGGUCUUGGAAAUCAAAACACCUUUAUUACUUAGAUUCUUAUAAGAAAAUAGUGUUUUGUUAUUAUUACUAUUAUUUGUAUUGUUGGACAUGAACUCAGGACCUCACACAUGCGGCAAGUGCUCUACCAUUGACUACAUCCCCAGCCCCCCAAAUAGUGUAAUUAUUAUUUGUCUGAAUUUUCUUAGUCUCUACAUUCCUUUUUCCCCAUUGAAACUUUCUUUCUUUCUUGAACUCAAGGCCUCAUGCAUGCUAGGCAAGCAGUCUACUACUGAGCUACAUCCUCAGCCCUUAUUUUUGUAAUCUGAUUUGUUAACACAGGUUUAUUAAGAUUGUAAUUCUUGCAUUAUAUUAAAUAGGCUAUUUAAGGAAGGGGAGCAUAUUUCUCCUCUCUGUACUACUACCACCAAAUUUGAUUUUAUAACAUGUUUAAUGUAACUUAUUCUGAGAUUUUUUUUUCAGUUAUCUACCUGAGGUAUAGACUCUAGUAGGAAAAGUUACUCUGAAACUGAGUUCAAACAAUAAUGUUAUGGUUAUGGGCAUAAUAAGGUACUAGAUAGACUGGUGGCUGAUGUGGUUGUUAAGAUUUAAGAUUAUAGUCAUUCCUUGAAGAAAAAUACAAAGAUUUGGGACAUCUUGCCAGCCAAAAAAUAAGACUAAGCUUUGCCCACAAUUGCGUAGUAACUAGUCAAAAGAAAGAGGCUUCAUAUGAACUCAUUAUGUACAGUUAGGCACGUUAAUCAGUUUAACUGUAGCUGUAGAUACAUAAGUGGUAAUAUGCUUUUAGAUUUCAAUGAUAUUUCAUAGAUUAAUAAGUUUGUAAAGAAUUAUGUGUAUAUUGCUAUUAUUAACCUGGAUUCCAUGCUGACCAUUUGACUUAAUGAUUUGUGUACAUCCCCAUAAAUGAUAGUAGCUGUUUUUCACUUACAGUGUCAAAAUUAUUCAUAUGUGUGAAAAGAAGGUAUAACUAGGUGUCAUUAGCCUGGGUUUCUACUUAUAGGUCCACCACUAACUGAUGUUAUCAUUUAGAAUGUUGAAAUGACUUGUCUGACUUUUAGUGUUCUAAUCUUUAAAAAGAAGAAAAUAGACCAGAUAAUAGCUUUUCUAGUCCUCAAAUUAAAAAUCUUUUUCCUAGUUAUUCAGUUACUUUGUUAUUGAACAUAGUCCUUUCUCUGUAUUCUGUAUAUGUAUUAAUUCUAUUUAAUUUUAUUUUUAUACUUUCUUUACCUCACACCAUAAAUCAUUUGAGUUUGUAAUUCCAAUAAAAUGCUUAAAUGGCAGUUUUAUGCGAAUAUAACAUAGCAUUUUGCAGAAAUUGCUAAAAUUUAUUUUAUAGAAAGACAUUUUAGCAUUUAAUGAUGAGUAGGUUUAUUUGGAGCCAAAUAUUUAGUUCUCAAAUGUGCAUAUUUAUCUGAAGUAUUAAUAGAUCACGUUGAGGCAAUUAUUUUAGUUUAGUACCUUAUAUAUCUUAUGGAGUCAGUUUAUUUCUGAAUGAUUAUCAUUGCCUGAGCAUCAGUUACUUCAUUCUUAGUUUAUGUAGAAACAUUGGCUAUUUUAUACUCCCUUUAUGUUGUUUUUCUAUGACUGUUUCCUCAGUUCAUUUUUUAUAAUACUACGGUACCAUUACAUCAUAUAGGUAUUCCUCACUGAGAGCAUUUUUAAUAAAGUUAUAAGACUUCUAUUUUUAAAUUAAUUUGUUCUGUCUUUAUAAUGAAGCCUAUGUGCUCUUUUGUUUGUGGCAUCUUUUUCAGUAAUAUGUGCUAGAUAUACAUUGUUUUGUGGAACUAUUUAGGGAUUUAAAUUUGUUAUUAUUGAUUAUAUCUGUGCUUAUUGAUUAAGAAAAAUUAGGUGUUCAAAUGUCUAAUAUGUGGAAAGAAUAUAUCAUUAUUUUAUACACAAUUUAUCAUUGUUAACAAAGCUUUCUUUGCUCUAUUUUAUAGGUGAUGUUUGCAGACAGAAAAAGUAAACUGUCCAGCAAUCCAAACUAUUGUGUACUUAUUACUUGGACCAACUUGAGGAACGAUUCUUUGAUCAAACUAGUUGGCAAUAGAAAAUGAAAAGUAGUGUGGCACAGAUAAAAGUAAGUGUUUGAAAUUCUUGAUAGAAGAUGCAAACUUAUAGUUAGUU